UCAGAACGAACGCUGGCGGCAUGGAUUAGGCAUGCAAGUCGAACGGGUGCAGCAAUGCACCAGUGGCGCAAGGGUGAGGAACACGUGAGUAAUCUACCCUCAAGAUUGGGAUAGCUCCUGGAAACGGGAAUUAAUACCGGAUGAAACAGUUUAUCCGCAUGGGUGAACUUUUAAAGCAGCAAUGCGCUUGAGGAGGAGCUCGCGUCCCAUUAGCUGGUUGGUGAGGUAACGGCCCACCAAGGCGAUGAUGGGUAGCUGGUCUGAGAGGACGAUCAGCCACAUUGGGACUGAGAAACUGCCCAGACUCCUACGGGAGGCUGCAGUCGAGAAUUUUGGGCAAUGAGCGAAAGCUUGAACCCCAGCAAUGCCGCGUGCGGGAUGAAGGUCUUCGGAUUGUAAACCGCUGUUGAGAGGGACGAAAGAUGACGGUACCUCUAGAGGAAGCCACGGCUAACUACGUGCCAGCCGCCGC
rnacentral:rRNA from 1 species